rnacentral:rRNA from 1 species
AUGGCGGCAGGCUACACAUGCAGUCGAACGGAUCCUUCGGGAUUAGUGGCGGACGGGUGAGUAACACGUGGGAACGUGCCCUUUGGUUCGGAACAACUCAGGGAAACUUGAGCUAAUACCGGAUGUGCCCUUCGGGGGAAAGAUUUAUCGCCAUUGGAGCGGCCCGCGUCUGAUUAGCUAGUUGGUGGGGUAAAGGCCCACCAAGGCGACGAUCAGUAGCUGGUCUGAGAGGAUGAUCAGCCACAUUGGGACUGAGACACGGCCCAAACUCCUACGGGAGGCAGCAGUGGGGAAUCUUGCGCAAUGGGCGAAAGCCUGACGCAGCCAUGCCGCGUGAAUGAUGAAGGUCUUAGGAUUGUAAAAUUCUUUCACCGGGGACGAUAAUGACGGUACCCGGAGAAGAAGCCCGGCUAACUUCGUGCCAGCAGCCCGCGGGUAAUACGAAGGGGGGCUAGCGUUGCUCCGGAUUACUGGGCGUUAAGGGAGCGUAAGCGGGACUGUUAAGUUAAAAGUGAAAGACCAGGGCUCAACCUGGAAU